UACGUAGGGUGCAAGCGUUAUCCGGAAUUACUGGGUGUAAAGGGUGAGUAGGCGGCUAGGCAAGUCAUAUGUGAAAUACCGGGGCUUAACUCCGGGGCUGCAUAAGAAACUGUUUAGCUAGAGUACAGGAGAGGUAAGCGGAAUUCCUAGUGUAGCGGUGAAAUGCGUAGAUAUUAGGAAGAACACCAGUGGCGAAGGCGGCUUACUGGACUGUAACUGACGCUGAGUCACGAAAGCGUGGGGAGCGAACAGG
rnacentral:rRNA from 1 species